rnacentral:lncRNA from 1 species
AGCAAGGGGGGUGUCAGAUGAAGCAUGGAUGGAGAAUGCACUUCUUUUCAUAAAAUACAUAGAUUGACAUAAACAAUCAUGUUUAGUAUAUCUACGUGGGAAUGAAAACUGUUUGAUUUGACAAAAAAUUAUAGAUGAUGAUCGUAAAGAAGUUGAACCCUUGGUGUAUUCCUCUUUAGUAACCAUGGACUGAUUCACAAAGAAAUAGAAGAGCUUAUAUCGUUUUGUAUGGUGACCUUUCAAGUCUCAAGUGAAUGAAUAUCUUUAAUCUAUUCAUGAAUUAAUUCUUGACCUUAGUCACUAGUGUGAUACUGAUGGAUAAUGAACUAAAGUGACGUUUGAUAAAGUCCCAACUGCAUAAUAAUUGUUUCCUCCGUUUAAGGAUUUGUGUGAGGAUUACGUGUUUGAUAUAGUUAAAAAAAAAUUACAGUUAUAAUUUCACAUACCUAUUAAAUUGGAGAAUAAUAUUAAUUUUAGA